GUGCUCACUUUAACAGCACAUAGACUGAAAUUGGAACGCUACAGAGAAGAUCAGCAUGGUCCCAAGGAUGACACACAGAUUUGUGAAGCAUUCCAUAUUUUU
ensembl:snRNA U6 U6 spliceosomal RNA